GUUCCUCCUCUCCUUUUUUCCCUCCCCUUUCCCUCUCUUCGGAGAGUAUGCCUGUUCGAGGGUCAGUAUUAAUAAAAAUCGGUGUGUUGCUUCUUUGUGACGCUCCGGAGUUUGGGUCAUCUUAAUAUCCUUUAGGUUUUAAGAGGCUUAAAAUUGACUUUUUUUGCGCAUUUUAGAUGUACAUAAAUUCUUUUUUUUAUUCGUCUGUCUUAAUGCUCAAAAUCCUAUUAGAUGCUACCAUAUCGUUUGGUUUCGUGUCUAUAAAUUUUUCAUUAUUUUACCUCAAAUCAGUUAGUAGUA
rnacentral:misc_RNA from 1 species